rnacentral:rRNA from 1 species
GCGAUAGCCGUGCCGGGUGCGGCGGUGAUACUGGGGGUGUAAGCGUUAUCCGGAGUUACUGGGUUUAAAGGGUGCGUAGGCGGCUCUUUAAGUCAGUGGUGAAAGCCUAGUGCUUAACACUAGAAUUGCCAUUGAAACUGAAGAGCUUGAGUCAAGGAGAGGUAAGCAGAAUUUAUGGUGUAGCAGUGAAAUGCUUAGAUACCAUAAGGAAUACCAAUAGCGAAGGCAGCUUACUGGCCUUGCACUGACGCUGAGGCACGAAAGCGUGGGGAGCAAACAGGAUUAGAUACCCCAGUAGUC